rnacentral:lncRNA from 1 species
GAGAGUCUAAAAUGUACUGAGAGGCUUCUACAGAAUUUAUUUUGGGAAGAACAAAAUGAAGUUUAGUUAGCUGAAUUGGGUAGCAUUUCAUUCCAGGGCUUAGAAGACGAUGGUCGGAUAUGGGACGAGACAACUGGAAAUGCAUUGUCAAACUGAAUCAUGAGAAUUGACAGUUAUGUUGUCAUACAAUGUGUCACUAAUUUUUGGUCUGUUUUCAUUCUAUAUGAAUAGUUAUUGAUACACUUAUCUGCAAAAAAAGAAAGAAGUUGCAAAUCUGACUUCAGACACUUCCUAGCUGUGUGAUCCUGGACAAGUCAUUUAACCCUGGUUGGAAGCAAGGAAGAAAGGAAGGAAAGAAGGAGGAAGGGAAGGAAAAAAGGGAGGAAAGGUGAAAGAAAAGAAAGGAAGAAGGAAAGAAAGAAGGAUGGAAGAAAGAAGGAAAGAAGUGCAGGGUCUUGCACAUUUGAUUUCAAUUGUACAAGGAACUCCAAGAUGAGGAAAUUCCCUCUCCAAAGCAGGAUAACAAAAUUCAAGAGAUAUAUGAGACCUCAGAGGCCAUCUUUUACAACUUAUGCUUAAGAAAUUAUGCCUUUGAAGAUAGCUCCAACAUGGUAUCAUACAUCGUUUGCUUGAAGGCAUUGGGUAAGGGGGAACCUGUUACUUUUGGAGGGAACUCAUUCUGUUUUUGUAUAGUUCUAUUU